AUGAGCCAUGGUUCUCUGUCUCCCUGGAGGAAAACAUUCAUUGCAGUGUUCAGUCACCAUUUAUCUCUCUAUAUUCAUGGGCUGACCUACUCAUGUCUACCCUUUGGACCACGGUAUGAGAGGGAGCACUGUGUACCCCUGCAGACAGAUCUUGCUGGUGGGGACCUCUGUUCAGAGGCUGAAGUGGUAGAAAUAGAGCCUGAGCUUAUUCAUCACCAAUGCCUGCCCAGAGCUACUGGGUCUUGGGCAGAGAAAUCCUCAAAGCUCAGAGAAGAAGCUCAGCCUCCCCUCCUGAAGACAUGGUGGUGAGGUUUGGCAAGAGCUUGGGCUUUGGAGUUAGAGCCUUGUUGGAAUCCUCACUCUGCACCAUGUAAUUCCAGGCAAAUCUUUAUCUCACUGUAUUGUAAUUGUCAAGAGACAACAUCCUUGGAUGGCUAAGACAUUGGGUUAAAUUCACCCUAAAGUGUGGAUGGCAGAUGACUCAAAUUUUUCCUUGGCGCCAGUUCUGACACAAAGAAGGAUAUUGAGCUUUGAAGAACAGGAGUGAAGGAAAUGCCUCAGAAGGAAGAUGUCAGUAGGUCUAAAGGCCAGGAAUUCUAUUAGGGAGAUUUUUACAUGCUUAUUACCCUUGGGCUGAUUAUUCUCAAGGCUUGCUGCCUCGGCUGGUACCCACUGGGCUUUAAAUGUGUGUGUCUGUAGAAGAAAGCCAUCACUUAGAAUGUUUGUAAAGCGUUUGUCUCUGUCAUGGAUUUGAAAAUCCGGGCUCUGUUUUCUGUGAGAUAUUUGCUGACUUCUCAGCUGCCCCCACCAAUCCUGACCGAAAGAGACGACUCUGGACCCUGUCCGAACACUGUGAUCCUUCAGCCUGCUGACCCGCCAAGGUGGGUGCUCCCGCCACAAAGGGCCAGGCUCCCUGACUUCCUGCUGUUUUUCUUUAAAAAAGAAAAACAAAACCCCAGGAAGCCUCAUGCCUAAAGCAACAACAACAACAACAAGGAUAACAACAAAGAGACCCCCCUGGGGUCUGUUUCUCCAGGAGAAGAUCCUUCAUUAAGUCUCACUGCUUCUUGGCAUUUCUUUUGUGAAAGAUUCCGGACUUAAGGUCUCCCUGAGGACUUUGUCAGGAUGACCUCACCCUCUGAAAUUGGCAGGGAAGAAGCAUUCUGAUUUCCUUCCAGCACAAGAACAGAAAGGUGGUUGUUAAGCAGAAAUUGUCCAGGCAGUAAUAAGACAAGCCUGGUCCCUUCUUCUCCCAAAGAUUCUGGCCAAAUUCUGGAGAUUCUUUCUGCAAGUAGGCUUGACCUUGAACCCACAGGCGCCUGCUUCUGGCUUCCAUAAGAGGUUUUGGGUCCUGGUUGCUUUUGAGGGCCUCUGUGAAGGAAAAGGAGACUUGGAAGGAGUAGAUUCAUAUGGAAGCCUUCCUAUUACAAGUGCAAAGAAAUGUGGGAUAAAACGAAAACCAAAUUGGUCCAGUUGCUGGAACUGAAGAGGUAAUGGAAAAACAUAGCCGGAAGUGGUGAGUGGCGCCACGGCAAGCCAGGGGUGUGACUGUCUGUGCUCUUAUUAGACUGGUAUAGGGCGCCCACAGAGAUGAGAGUUAAGGCUCUGGGCCAGUGCCAGGCAGAGGCCUAAACAAGAAGGCAAAAAGGUGGGACGAUCGCAGGACUGAACUCUUCAAGAAAGGAGGACUAGGAAAAAAAAAAAUCCGGUCAUCGAACCAGGAAGAUGUCACGGAAGGUUGCCUCUGCCUAGAUUCUGGGUGAACAAAUAAAAAGCCUUUUGUGAGAAAGUGAAAUCCCA
rnacentral:lncRNA from 1 species